AUCCAAUUGACCAUCUUUAAUCGAGAUUUGUCCUCGGGUACAAUUGAGACAGGUGGUGCAUGGUUGUCGUCAGCUCGUGUCGUGAGAUGUUGGGUUAAGUCCCGCAACGAGCGCAACCCUUGUGUUUAGUUGCAAACAGGUCAAGCUGUGCACUCUAGACAGACUGCCGUGGACAACACGGAGGAAGGUGGGGAUGACGUCAAAUCAUCAUGCCCCUUAUGAUCUGGGCUACACACGUGCUACAAUGGCCGGUACAACGGGCAGCGAAGGAGCGAUCCGGAGCGAAUCCUAAAAAGCCGGUCCCAGUUCGGAUUGCAGGCUGAAACUCGCCUACAUGAAGUUGGAGUUGCUAGUAAUCGCGAAUCAGAAUGUCGCGGUGAAUGCGUUCCCGGGUCUU
rnacentral:rRNA from 1 species